GUGUAUGGUUAUACCACCACUAAUGUAAUGGAUCCCAUCCGAACUCCGAAAUUAAGAGUAUCUUGCCACGAGUAGUAUUAGGAUGGUAGGGCGCAUCAUUGAUUCACC
rnacentral:rRNA from 1 species